GAUGGCCGAGUGGUUAGAGCGUCCGCCUCAUAUGCGGGAGGUCGUGGGUUCAAUCCCCAAACGAGUCA